ensembl:lncRNA
AGCCACUAGUACUUUUUCCAAGUAUACUCUGCUAUGUUUUGUACCAUCUUCCUAAUCCUUUCUGGCUGGCAAGGCUGCGUUUUAUGUUUUAUACACUUUGUGGCUGGCAUUAGUUACAAAUAACAUUUAUUUAAAGAAUCGAGCAAAAUAAUGAACAAAUUACAAAAAAAAAAAAAAAAAGGUUUGAAGUAUUUGCUUCUUGCCAAGGACAGAGGAGGAGGAGACCAGUGAUGAUUUUAGGGUUAGUUGUCACAGUCUAGAUUCACCGCUCUAGGACGAGUUAAAGCCAUGCUUACAAGAACAUUACAAGAGCAUUGCUUUAUUGCUCAGAGGUUGCUCUAUCAUAGCUAAGGAGCCAUUUUUAGACAUGCAGUAAAAGUAUAGAACAUUAAAUAAGAGGUAAGCAAACAAAGGAUAAGCCAUUUGUUUGGGAAAUAAUUUGAUGAUAAAUUUAUUCAUAUUAUUGUUUGUGAAAUAACUGCAGGGGAAAACAACAGACACAAUUUCUUUCUUUUGAAGGGCCCUAGCUGCUUCCUAAUUAUCUUAUUUGAUGCACAGAGAACCACGCUCACUCAUCUGUCGUUUGGUCUCCUCUGCACAUUGCUCAACGCUUCAGCACUUUCAUCCCCCCAUUCUGUACAAGAGGCCAACAGGGUCUGGAGAAGAGAGGCUAUUACCUGUACGUGGUGCAUCCGACAUCACGGACACCGAUGUUCUUCUUCCAUUCAUCUGGAGUGGCUCACUUUCCAUAGCAAUUACUGGCCGUGAGAUCAAAACUGGACCAUCAGGGGGAAUUGCGUGUCCUCUGGCAGACUGUUGCAUGCGUGUGAAUAGACUGGCCGAUGGUACUUGGCCAUUGAGUGUACUGGCAGAGUGACUCGCAGAGGAAAUUGUUGAGCUAGGAUCUCUAUUGAAGGCCACCCUCACAAAGUGGACAGUGGCUGAGGAUAACACUGUUCAUCUCACAUAUUUCUAUGUUAAAUUCCUACAGUUUAAACUAAACAGGUGGGUUUAUUUUUCAGUCAUUAAAUAUGUGAUACUAAAAUUAAUUGGACAGUAGUAAACUCUAUUCUAUGAGCACUAGCUGGACUAGGUCUGAUGGACAUUUCUAUUGGUGUGAAUAGGGAGGAAGAGGUCAUUGACCUUGAAGGACAAGAGCUCUGGGUUAUUGACCACUACCACUGAAACACAAUGAGCCGUGGUUAAUGGAGUAGUACAAGACAUCCAGAAAAGAAGAUGUGUUGUAGAUUUGUUGUGUGUGUGUGUGUGUAUAGCCAGGCUAAGUUAAAUCCUUCAUGUCCUUGUCCAUCACAUGGAUGUUGUGACCAGCUGUGCGUGUGUUCUACCUGUGUUGGCCCUCUGGUUUUACCUGCUCCAGG